UACGAAGGGGGUUAGCGUUGUUCGGAAUUACUGGGCGUAAAGCGCACGUAGGCGGAUUGCUAAGUCAGGGGUGAAAUCCCGGGGCUCAACCUCGGAACUGCCUUUGAUACUGACAAUCUCGAGUCCGGAAGAGGUGGGUGGAAUUCCUAGUGUAGAGGUGAAAUUCGUAGAUAUUAGGAAGAACACCAGUGGCGAAGGCGGCCCACUGGUCCGGUACUGACGCUGAGGUGCGAAAGCGUGGGGAGCAAACAGG
rnacentral:rRNA from 1 species